rnacentral:rRNA from 1 species
AUUAAUACCUCAUAGUAUAGCAGUUUCGCAUAGAAACCACUAAUUAAAGUCACAACGGCAAAAGAUGAGCAUGCGUCCCAUUAGCUUGUUGGUAAGGUAACGGCUUACCAAGGCAACGAUGGGUAGGGGUCCUGAGAGGGAGAUCCCCCACACUGGUACUGAGACACGGACCAGACUCCUACGGGAGGCAGCAGUGAGGAAUAUUGGACAAUGGGCGCAAGCCUGAUCCAGCCAUGCCGCGUGCAGGAUGACGGUCCUAUGGAUUGUAAACUGCUUUUGUACAGGAAGAAACACUGGUUCGUGAACCGGCUUGACGGUACUGUAAGAAUAAGGAUCGGCUAACUCCGUG